AAUUUUACAUUAGAACUGUAUUAGCAUAUAAAAGUCCAAUAAAAAUAUACAUAAGUGCUGUACAUACCUUUUCAAAAUUAAAUCUUAUUUACUGGAUUACCGUUUGAGUAAUAAUAACUCACAAAAACAAGAAAUUUAAAGGGGUUUAUCAAAUUUUUACCAAGAGAAAAAUCUGGCAAAGUUAAAAAAAUUUGGCAUUACGGGUAAAAAAUCUAGUCAUUUGUUAGACCUUUGAGAAAUCUGGAAAAUUAGACAAAUCUGGCCAUAUAGUAGCACUGGUGGCAGAUAACGUAGUUAAAACAAAUCAAAACAAAGAUAUUUGCUGCCAUCGGAUUGGAAUUGAUCAUCAAAGAUAAGAAUAAUUUUGUUUUCUAAUUUGAAUUAAAGGUGUUAUAAAAAUGAUAAAGAGUUUAUUAGAAUUCUUGUUCACCAGUGAAAGUAAUUAAAAAUAUUAGGUGAAAAAGUGUAGUUAAAAAUAUUAGGUGAAAAGUGAUUACCAAUUGUAGUGUACAAAAAUUUGUUUUAUUGCAUUUUGUGAUAUUUUUUUGUUGUUCACUUUUUGUUUACAUUUCAUUUAUUGUAUUUAAAUUUUUUUUAAUUAAGUUUUUUAUUUUAGAUACCAUGUAAUUAUUCGAGAUGUAAAAGCUCAAAACAGCCAGAUAAGUAGGUCUCUUAUUGCCAUUUGGGUUUCAGCUGAACCUUCACGUUCCUUGAAAUAAUGCGCAUUGCUUUAUUUUAUAGAAUUUGCAGAAGAUCUUAUUUUUUUUCACCCCAAAGAAACAAUAUUGAAGAACAAUGAGGUGAAUGAGCCAAAAUAGUUGUGUUAUAUAUGGCAUUCGCACAUUUUUAAAUGAAAUAUCAUCUGCGAAGAGGAAAACUUCAAGACCUUUAUGAAACAUUUUAACUAAACCUCAAGCAAGUUGCCAAAUAAAGAAUGAAAGAGAAAAACUGAAAUAAUAAUAAUAUAAUACAUUGAUAUAAUAAGUGAUACUCGAUUUUUCAAAAACAAAAAACAACAAUAGCACUGAAAAAAAAAAACGCAUCGGCAACAAAGACAACAAGCAAAUCAAAAUCAACAAGGCCAACAAGGAAGUGGCCGGCAACGGAAUGAUCGGAAAUGGUGAUAAGGGGAAAAAACAUGAGGGUGGCAUGUCUUCAGAAGAAGUCCGCAGAUACGUAAGGAAAAGUCUCGAAGAGCUGAGGGCUUGCGAAACGGUUGUUACCACCAGCUGUCCCUAGAAAAGGGUAAAGUCAAAGAAUAACACUCCUGGCGAAUUAACGGAAACCAGAGUUCCGUCCUUUUCUUAAUUUCUCCCUAGUAGCCGUCAGGGUGAAAGGGAGAAAAUCAUUUAAGUGUAAAAAUCAUUAAGGAACCUGAAACAGCUCCAAGGGUUAAAAGCCUCAAAAAACGAUAUGGCUGUCAGGUGUAUCCAAAUAAAUUUCCAGUAUGCCAGAACAUCUAGGGAUGUAGAUUUAUGAAGGAUCACCCCAACAUCGCCCUUACCCAAAAGUCUUACGUAGUGAAGAAUCAGGUUGUUUCUAACAGAUUAUUGCUCCAUCUGGGCUGACUGUGGAAGGAGAAAUUUCCAGCUGAUAAAAAGAAGAGAUGGCAAUGCCUACCACACCGUCUGCGGAAGCAGUGAUAUAAACAAAAAAGGUUUGCCUACAAAAAAGUUUUUAUAAUAGGAGCUGUUCCACCAAGCCGAGGCAGAGCAAUAGGAACUUCCCGUGGUGAAAUGAGAAGUUUCCAAGGCUUAGAAUAAGGACCAUAAAGCUCUUCAAUAAGGCCAAAGCGUCGGGUUCGCGGAAAGGGUAUAAAAGCUCACUCAAGAAAUACAAUAGGCAAAUAAGAAAAGCGAAAAGAAGUUUU